rnacentral:tRNA from 3 species
GGGGGUGUAGCUCAGCUGGGAGAGCGCCACGUUCGCAACGUGGAAGUCGUGGGUUCGAAUCCCAUCAUCUCCACCA